rnacentral:rRNA from 1 species
UAUGGAGAGUUUGAUCCUGGCUCAGGAUGAACGCUGGCGGCGUGCCUAAUACAUGCAAGUCGAGCGAACGGACGAGAAGCUUGYUUCUCUGAUGUUAGCGGCGGACGGGUGAGUAACACGUGGAUAACCUACCUAUAAGACUGGGAUAACUUCGGGAAACCGGAGCUAAUACCGGAUAAUAUUUUGAACCGCAUGGUUCAAAAGUGAAAGACGGUCUUGCUGUCACUUAUAGAUGGAUCCGCGCUGCAUUAGCUAGUUGGUAAGGUAACGGCUUACCAAGGCAACGAUGCAUAGCCGACCUGAGAGGGUGAUCGGCCACACUGGAACUGAGACACGGUCCAGACUCCUACGGGAGGCAGCAGUAGGGAAUCUUCCGCAAUGGGCGAAAGCCUGACGGAGCAACGCCGCGUGAGUGAUGAAGGUCUUCGGAUCGUAAAACUCUGUUAUUAGGGAAGAACAUAUGUGUAAGUAACUGUGCACAUCUUGACGGUACCUAAUCAGAAAGCCACGGCUAACUACGUGCCAGCAGCCGCGGUAAUACGUAGGUGGCAAGCGUUAUCCGGAAUUAUUGGGCGUAAAGCGCGCGUAGGCGGUUUUUUAAGUCUGAUGUGAAAGCCCACGGCUCAACCGUGGAGGGUCAUUGGAAACUGGAAAACUUGAGUGCAGAAGAGGAAAGUGGAAUUCCAUGUGUAGCGGUGAAAUGCGCAGAGAUAUGGAGGAACACCAGUGGCGAAGGCGACUUUCUGGUCUGUAACUGACGCUGAUGUGCGAAAGCGUGGGGAUCAAACAGGAUUAGAUACCCUGGUAGUCCACGCCGUAAACGAUGAGUGCUAAGUGUUAGGGGGUUUCCGCCCCUUAGUGCUGCAGCUAACGCAUUAAGCACUCCGCCUGGGGAGUACGACCGCAAGGUUGAAACUCAAAGGAAUUGACGGGGACCCGCACAAGCGGUGGAGCAUGUGGUUUAAUUCGAAGCAACGCGAAGAACCUUACCAAAUCUUGACAUCCUUUGACAACUCUAGAGAUAGAGCYUUCCCCUUCGGGGGACAAAGUGACAGGUGGUGCAUGGUUGUCGUCAGCUCGUGUCGUGAGAUGUUGGGUUAAGUCCCGCAACGAGCGCAACCCUUAAGCUUAGUUGCCAUCAUUAAGUUGGGCACUCUAAGUUGACUGCCGGUGACAAACCGGAGGAAGGUGGGGAUGACGUCAAAUCAUCAUGCCCCUUAUGAUUUGGGCUACACACGUGCUACAAUGGACAAUACAAAGGGCAGCGAAACCGCGAGGUCAAGCAAAUCCCAUAAAGUUGUUCUCAGUUCGGAUUGUAGUCUGCAACUCGACUACAUGAAGCUGGAAUCGCUAGUAAUCGUAGAUCAGCAUGCUACGGUGAAUACGUUCCCGGGUCUUGUACACACCGCCCG